rnacentral:rRNA from 1 species
GCUCAACCGGGGAGGGUCAUUGGAAACUGGGGAACUUGAGUGCAGAAGAGGAGAGUGGAAUUCCACGUGUAGCGGUGAAAUGCGUAGAGAUGUGGAGGAACACCAGUGGCGAAGGCGACUCUCUGGUCUGUAACUGACGCUGAGGCGCGAAAGCGUGGGGAGCGAACAGGAUUAGAUACCCUGGUAGUCCACGCCGUAAACGAUGAGUGCUAGGUGUUAGGGGUUUCGAUGCCCGUAGUGCCGAAGUUAACACAUUAAGCACUCCGCCUGGGGAGUACGGCCGCAAGGCUGAAACUCAAAGGAAUUGACGGGGACCCGCACAAGCAGUGGAGCAUGUGGUUUAAUUCGAAGCAACGCGAAGAACCUUACCAGGUCUUGACAUCCUUUGACCACCCAAGAGAUUGGGCUUCCCCUUCGGGGGCAAAGUGACAGGUGGUGCAUGGUUGUCGUCAGCUCGUGUCGUGAGAUGUUGGGUUAAGUCCCGCAACGAGCGCAACCCUUGAUCUUAGUUGCCAGCAUUGAGUUGGGCACUCUAAGGUGACUGCCGGUGACAAACCGGAGGAAGGUGGGGAUGACGUCAAAUCAUCAUGCCCCUUAUGACCUGGGCUACACACGUGCUACAAUGGAUGGUACAAAG